GGGUGGCUCAGUCAGUUGAGCAUCUGACUUCAGCUCAGGUCAUGAUCUUGCAGUUUGUGGGUUCGAGCCCCACGCAUCCG
rnacentral:tRNA from 1 species